rnacentral:rRNA from 1 species
UACGGAGGGGGCUAGCGUUGUUCGGAAUUACUGGGCGUAAAGCGCACGUAGGCGGCUUUGUAAGUCAGAGGUGAAAGCCCGGGGCUCAACUCCGGAAUUGCCUUUGAGACUGCAUCGCUUGAAUCACGGAGAGGUGGGUGGAAUUCCGAGUGUAGAGGUGAAAUUCGUAGAUAUUCGGAAGAACACCAGUGGCGAAGGCGGCCCACUGGACGUGUAUUGACGCUGAGGUG